rfam:Myotis davidii contig49716, whole genome shotgun sequence.
CUCGGGGGGGGUCCCUCAGCUUGGAUUGUGAGAGGGCGCAGGCCACGCUGAGGGACCCCACCGGUGCACG